CACCUCCCGACAUACUAUGGGAGCUGGCUAUGCCUGGAGUCAUUACCUUAACCGCAAGGAGAGGAAUGCCGAAGGCAGGACUAGUCAUUUGAGUGAAAUCGUAACAAGAUAGUCAUACUAGAAGGUGCGACUG
rfam:Nicotiana attenuata strain TT chromosome 11, whole genome shotgun sequence.